UACGGAGGGUGCGAGCGUUGUCCGGAAUCACUGGGCGUAAAGGGCGCGUAGGCGGCUUCUCAAGCGUGUGGUGAAAGUCCGGGGCUCAACCCCGGAUCGGCCGUGCGGACUGGGGAGCUCGAGUUCUGUAGAGGCGGGUGGAAUUCCGGGUGUAGCGGUGGAAUGCGUAGAGAUCCGGAAGAACACCGGUGGCGAAGGCGGUUAGCUGGGCAGUUGCUGACACUGAGG
rnacentral:rRNA from 1 species